GGGUAUCUUGCUGGAGAUCCCUGUCUAUAUGAGGCUUUCUAAAGGUUCCCUGGUGCAGGCAGCAGUGACUCAGCCGGCCUCGGUGUCAGCAAACCUGGGAGGAACCGUCAAGAUCACCUGCUCCGGGAGUAGUGGCAGCUAUGGCUGGUAUCAGCAGAAGUCUCCUGGCAGUGCCCCUGUCACUGUGAUCUAUUACAACGACAAGAGACCCUCGGACAUCCCUUCACGAUUCUCCGGUUCCAAAUCCGGCUCCACGGGCACAUUAACCAUCACUGGGGUCCAAGCCGAGGACGAGGCUGUCUAUUUCUGUGGGAGCAGGGACAGCAGCUAUGUUGGUAUGGUGCUGCAGAGAGGUGUUGCGGUGAAUUGAUGCCAAGUCUUAAAAAAGCAGUGGGAUGGG